GAUCAUGGCUCAGAUUGAACGCUGGCGGCAUGCCUUACACAUGCAAGUCGAACGGCAGCACGGGUGCUUGCACCUGGUGGCGAGUGGCGAACGGGUGAGUAAUACAUCGGAACGUACCUUAUCGUGGGGGAUAACGCAGCGAAAGCUGUGCUAAUACCGCAUACGCCCUGAGGGGGAAAGCGGGGGAUCGAAAGACCUCGCGCGAUUAGAGCGGCCGAUGCCUGAUUAGCUUGUUGGUGGGGUAAAAAGCCCACCAAGGCGACGAUCAGUAGCUGGUCUGAGAGGACGAUCAGCCACACUGGGACUGAGACACGGCCCAGACUCCUACGGGAGGCAGCAGUGGGGAAUUUUGGACAAUGGGGGAAACCCUGAUCCAGCAAUGCCGCGUGAGUGAAGAAGGCCUUCGGGUUGUAAACUGCUUUUGUACGGAACGAAAAGACUCUGGUUAAUACCUGGGGUCCAUGACGGUACCGUAAGAAUAAGCACCGGCUAACUACGUG
rnacentral:rRNA from 1 species